UCUGGUAUGAAAGGUUUGACGAGAUAUUAACUGUUUCAUAUAAAUUUAUAUUAGAAUUUUAUUUUUUAGUUAAAAAGCUAAAAUUUAUUUAAAAGACGAGAAGACCCUAUAAAUCUUUAUAUUUAAAUUAUUAUAAUUUUGUAGAAUUUUUUUAUUUUAAUAAUUAAUAAUAUUUUAUUGGGGUGAUAUUAAAAUUUAAUAAACUUUUAAUUUUUUUUAUCAUUAAUUAAUGAAUAAUUGAUCCGUUAUUAACGAUUAAAAAUUUAAGUUACCUUAGGGAUAACAGCGA
rnacentral:rRNA from 1 species